rnacentral:rRNA from 1 species
GAUGAACGCUGGCGGCGUGCCUAAUACAUGCAAGUCGAACGCACAGCGAAAGGUGCUUGCACCUUUCAAGUGAGUGGCGAACGGGUGAGUAACACGUGGACAACCUGCCUCAAGGCUGGGGAUAACAUUUGGAAACAGAUGCUAAUACCGAAUAAAACUCAGUGUCGCAUGACACAAAGUUAAAAGGCGCUUUGGCGUCACCUAGAGAUGGAUCCGCGGUGCAUUAGUUAGUUGGUGGGGUAAAGGCCUACCAAGACAAUGAUGCAUAGCCGAGUUGAGAGACUGAUCGGCCACAUUGGGACUGAGACACGGCCCAAACUCCUACGGGAGGCUGCAGUAGGGAAUCUUCCACAAUGGGCGAAAGCCUGAUGGAGCAACGCCGCGUGUGUGAUGAAGGCUUUCGGGUCGUAAAGCACUGUUGUAUGGGAAGAACAGCUAGAAUAGGGAGUGAUUUUAGUUUGACGGUACCAUACCAGAAAGGGACGGCUAAAUACGUGCCAGCCGCCGCAGUAA